rnacentral:rRNA from 1 species
AGCACCUUCGGGUGUGGAUUAGUGGCGAACGGGUGAGGAACACGUGAGGAAUCUGCCUUCCACUCUGGGAUAACUCCGGGAAACCGGGGCUAAUACCGGAUACUUUCAACUGGCGGCAUCGCCGGUUGAAGAAAGUUUUUCGGUGGAAGAUGACCUCGCGGCCUAUCAGCUUGUUGGUGAGGUAAAGGCUCACCAAGGCGACGACGGGUAGCCGGCCUGAGAGGGCGACCGGCCACACUGGGACUGAGACACGGCCCAGACUCCUACGGGAGGCAGCAGUGGGGAAUAUUGGGCAAUGGAGGAAACUCUGACCCAGCGACGCCGCGUGAGGGAUGAAGGCCUUCGGGUUGUAAACCUCUUUCAGCGGGGAAUAAGCGAAAGUGAAGGUACCUGCAGAAGAAGCACCGGCUAACUAUGUGCCAGCAGCCGCGGUAAUACAUAGGGUGCAAGCGUUGUCCGGAAUUAUUGGGCGUAAAGAGCUCGUAGGUGGUCGAUCACGUCGGAUGUGAAAUUCUGAGGCUUAACCUCGGACCUGCAUUCGAUACGGGUUGACUAGAGUGUGGUAGGGGAGACUGGAAUUCCUGGUGUAGCGGUGGAAUGCGCAGAUAUCAGGAGGAACACCGAUGGCGAAGGCAGGUCUCUGGGCCAUUACUGACACUGAGGAGCGAAAGCGUGGGGAGCGAACAGGAUUAGAUACCCUGGUAGUCCACGCCGUAAACGGUGGGCGCUAGUUGUGGGAACCUUCCACGGUUUCUGCGACGCAGCUAACGCAUUAAGCGCCCCGCCUGGGGAGUACGGUCGCAAGACUAAAACUCAAAGAAAUUGACGGGGCCCCGCACAAGCAGCGGAGCAUGCGGCUUAAUUCGACGCAACGCGAAGAACCUUACCAAGGCUUGACAUAUA